AGGCAGCUCUUCAAUCACAAGAGGCAAAUAAGGCAAUGGUGAGACGCUUUGCCUUGAUUGGAGGGACCACACUGGAGGUGCGAGUCCGCCGUGUAAUGGCUUAUGCCAUUACAAACGAGCUGGCCUCAGUACUCAACUGGGCAGGG